AAUUUUUUAUGUUAGGGUUUUUAAUUAAAAAAACCAAUUAUUGGUUGGAAACCGGAAGUAACGUGCGACCACAAGACGAAAUAACCGAGGAGGGGAAUCGUUACCGUUUUUGGCAAGGGAGGGUAACCUUGCCAGGGUUUUGUGGAGAAAUUCUGAUUGGAAGUGACAUGAUAGUCAAAGUCAAAUGAAAGGAGACUACCAGAUUGUCUAUAAAGACUUGGCAGCUUCCACGAGAGCUCUUUGUAACGGAAAUGGAUGAUUGGGAUCACGCAAGCAACUUUACAGCCUAGUUUUCCUUCUGCUUGGUAUGGUUGGGGUGGGUUAUCAGAGGGUUUGGAUUCUUUUAGAGCAUGGGAUGUGGCUCUCGGCUCUUGGGUUGGUGUUGGGUGAUCUGUGUUUAUUGCUUGAUUCUAUCAAUCUUUGCUGUUGGAUGGGCUUUGUGUUGAUCGGUUGAUUAGUUCUGUUGGUGGCUCUAGCAUGACUAGUGAGGACUGGUUUGGAUGGAGCUAGGGUGGGGGCUGCUUUUUCCCACGUUUGAGAGAACACCAUCAUUGUGCAUUUAAUUCACAGCCUACUUUCACCCUACGGUGGCCCUCUGUUCAACACAGGGCACUUUUCAAUCUGCCUUGCCAGUUUCCAGUUUAUUGAUCUCUCUUGCUUAGUUUCUGCUCAUGUCUUGAUGUAACCAGGUUUUCUGACGCCCUGCAAAGCUUCUCAUCCUUUCAUUUGCUGCUUCUAUCUUGGUUUUGCAGAAAUACAUCUUCCAUGCAUCCCUCCGUGCUCAGGUGUCAUGUCUGGGUGCCAAAACUAAAGGAUGAAACAAGCAGUUUCAAUUGCUUGUUGUUGUCAGGGAGGCACAAUCAGGAACAUCUAAGGGUAAAGAUAUACAACUAUCUGCUGCUUCCAUACUCGAGGGUGAUUGCUAUGAAAUUCAAGGGUUCUACACCUUAAAAAAUAGGUACCCGAACUCUAUUGCCAACCAUAAAAUAGUUAUUGAUUUCAAAUCUAAUACCAAAGUUGCUAGACUUGAUGCUCUAACACCUCUUAAGCAAUGCUACUAUUUUAACUUCACGGAUUUUGCACAUGUCCUAGCCAGAGGAAGAGGGCCAAGGAUACUCACUGAUGUUCUUAGCAGACUCAAAGUGGUUCAGCCACUUGAACAAAUCUUAGUUUGACGAUAGACACUUGUUUUCAAGCGAGAGUUUAUUAUGGAUAAUAUCAGGGGCAACGAGCUUAAGAUUACUCUUUGGGUUGAUGUUGCUCUAAGCUUUGAUGACACCGCUCUAGACGGUCAAUAAGAACCAGUGCUUGCUGUUUUUGCUGGCUACUAGGAAAUCCCAACCUCAUUGGCACUGCUGUCCCUAUGGUAUUUUAAUCUAGAGAUUUCUGAGCUUCUCCCAUAUAAGCAUCAAUGCACUGUCUACUCUUCACUUUGAUCCUUUACAUUGUUUUUUGUCAUUUAUUCUUUGCCUUCUAACACACUUAACCUUUUAUUUCUCGGCUUUGGCCAAAUGCCACUUCAAAUUCAGCGGCUCCCGCCUUUCGCAAACGCUAUUAGAUCGAUUGAAGAAUAAAUUAAUGAAAAUAGAAAGAUAAUCAAGGAAGUUCUUUGCAUGGAUCCAUAUUAUCACAAGGUCCAUUAAAAAACAAGAAUGACCGAUUCACUUACAGAGCUUCAGUAGCUGACUUGACCUUUAUAGAGGGAGGUGGUACGAUAGUUGUGCCCAGUGAUCCGAGAUGUACUGAGCAUCCUGCAGUGACACCAACACCAUGGUAAAAAAAAUAUUAUUGAUGUCCACAUGCUUACCUGACAUGAAGGUAGUCGUACCCCAACGUAAUUUCAACAAUACUUCUAUUUAUAGUAUAAUAAUAUACAUUAAUAUUUAUAAG